rnacentral:rRNA from 1 species
UACAGAGGGGGCAAGCGUUAUUCGGAAUUAUUGGGCGUAAAGGGCGCGUAGGCGGCUUGGCAAGUGGAUGGUGAAAUCCCUCGGCUUAACCGAGGAACUGCCGUCCAAACUGCUUCGCUUGAGACCGGGAGAGGUGAGUGGAAUUCCCAGUGUAGCGGUGAAAUGCGUAGAUAUUGGGAGGAACACCAGUGGCGAAGGCGGCUCACUGGACCGGUACUGACGCUGAGGCGCGAAAAGCGUGGGGAGCAAACGGG